ensembl:ncRNA asRNA:CR46135 antisense RNA:CR46135
GCUGCUCUUUGGAUUUAUCCAUCCACAUUGAAUGAAAUCUAAUUUAAGUAGCGUUACAGAAACCGUCUCUAAUCACUUCCCAGAAAUCGAAACUAUCUGGUUCUACAGUCACAUCGAAGCGCCGACAAAAUAGCAAAAGAGACCCAAAACAACAAAAAAAAAAACAAAAAAACUGCACAACAGCUUAUUUCCCAUUUAGCAACUAAUCCUUCCAAAUAAUCCACCAAACGACUCCUACAACAAUUCGUAAUAAAAAGACUGAAGUUUGGGUACGCAAACCUCAUAUGUCGUCACUUGGCCUUUUUGUAUAAAUAAAUAAUAGAGUAAUUCUAAAUUUGCAAGAUGCUUAACUAAGCAAAGUCGAAUUCAGCGCGUGAAAAUUGAAAAUUACUUUUAUUGGUGUAAUCAAGGAACGCACUUGAACUAGCUUAAUCGUUGUUAAUCGUUGUCACUGCCCGAUCCGCUGCCGGAACCACUGCCACUGCCGCUUCCACUGGCAGACUUGCUGCUGCCGCCGCCGCUCUUCUGGCUGCCCUCGUUUUCGCUACCACUAGCGCUGCCCCCUUCUCCGCCGCUCUUGUUGCUGUGGCCGCUCUUGGCGCUGCCGGCGUCCGAUUCGCUGUCGGAGUCGCGCAGUGCCUUGCUGGCCUUGGCCUUGUCCACCUUCUUGCUGCGACGCGCCUCGAAGUCGGAGCCCUCGUCUUCGUCCGACGAGUAGAUCGUAGAUGCCUUAACCUCCGCCUGGCCGGCACCAGAGCCCUUCUUAUACCGGUUCUUGAUGGCACUCAGGCUGAUGGCGUUCUCAUCGUCGCUGCCUUCGUCGUGCUGGUAAGACGAAGUGCCGCCUCCAAUCAGUGGUUCGCCCGCGCCUGGUUUCUUUUUCUUGGGCAGCGACUUGUGCUGAUUGCGCAUCGCCUGGCGCAGCUUGGCCUCCUCCUCCCUGAGCUGCGUUGGCCUAUCCGUGGUGGGAUCCUUGCCCACCUGCGUAAGAAUCUUAAUGCCACUGGUCUUGCUGGAUCGAUCGGCCAGCGACAUGGUCAUCUUCUUGUGCGUAAAGGACUCCGUGGAAUGAGGACGGAAAGUGAGCUUGGUCCUGAAGACCGACUGGCCCUGCAGACCCGUUCCUUGGCGGACGAACAGAUGAUUGUGGUCACCUAACAGCGGCUGCCUGUAGGCGUCGAAGAUCUCGUUGCCCAGGUGAAGGGACAUGCUGCCGUCGGACCAGCGCACGAAUCGCGCAUUAGACUCGCGCACCAUGUCGCCCUUAUUGUUCAUGUACUCUCGCCAUCGGAUAGUGUUGCUCACUUUGAGCUUGAUACGCUGUCUGCCCUCCUCGUCCAUUGUCUCCUCUUCGUCGAUCUCGUCUUCGUAGGUUUCCGGAUCAAACGGAUGCGUGACCACUGACAAAAAGUUGGGAAGCUUGAUAAAGUGCUGCUCUUUUCCCAGGUCUGCAGAGAUGCGCGGAAUCUCCACAUCGAUUCGGGUCUCCGGAAGCGGUUCAGGCUCAUCCUCCUUGGGCGCCGAUUCUACUUGGCUCUCGACUUUAUCCCGGGAUCGCGAUCUGGAGCGGGAACGCGAGUGGCUCAUAGAACGACUGUGGGAGUGGGACUUGCUUUGACUGCGGCUCUUGGAGCGCACUGGGGAUUUUCUGGCAGCUGGUCCAGCCUCAUCCUCAUCGUCACUUAUAUCAUCGGCAUCUCCAAAUAUGUCAGCUGCAGCCGGAGCUUUCUUUCCCUGCAUAAUUGAAAUGUACAUAUAUCAGGGUAAUUUUUCCUUAAUUAUAGAACUAGAUAAAUAACAAUAUAGUUGAGUAGUUCAGAGUGGUGUGCCUUACCACAUCCUGAUUGGAAUCGCUAUCAGUGUCGAUCAGCCGUGACUUCUUAGCUUUGGUGGGCGAUUCCUCAAUGUCGCUAUCGCUGCCGCUCUUUUUCUUCUCUUGAUCGGAGCCACUCGCCUUGCGUGCCUUCUUCUUGGGCACACCCACAUCGCUGCCGGAGCCGGAUGCGCUGCCACUACGACUUCUAUUGGGCGACGGCGUGCCCGUCUUGGAACGCGAUCUGGAAGUGCGACUGCCACUCCUGCUCCUACUUCUGCUGCGACUGCCGCUCUUGGAAUUGGCACGCUCUACGUCAAUUUGCAGAUUGGGCGAAUUAGACCGCGAUUCCUCGUUGCCCUUGAGUGAACCGCUAUGAGACCUCGAUCGAGACUCAGAGCGGUCACUUUGUGCCGAACCAGAUUUGCGACUCCGAGCGGAUCCCGAUCUGCGACUGUGGGCCGAACCGGAUCUGCGGCUGUGAGUAGAUCCCGAUUUGCGACUUUGGGGAGAACCAGAUCUACGACUCUGAGGCGAUCCUGACUUGCGACUUUGCAACGAACCUGAUCUGUGACUUUGUGGAGAUUCCGGAGUUCCAGAUUUACGGCUACGCGCAGAUCCCGACCUGCGACUGUGAGCAGAUCUUGAUCUCUUACUACGAGCGGAGCCAGACAGCUGCGAGUGGCGGCUUUCUGCAGACCCGGACCUGGCACUACGCGGAGACCCAGAGCCGGACCGGGAUCGGGAAGACCUGGAGCCCGAUCGGGAACGAUCGCUGCCACUACCCGACCUGCGACUGCGUUGGGAUCUGGAAAACGAGGGGAAGGUAAUCAGCACUCUCCCGCCGCCGUGUUUGAAUAUCAAAUAGUUACCCGGGCGCACUACCUCCUUGCGGCGUGACACUGCGGCUUCCACUUCGACUCGAACCGGAUGAACCUACAUACAUAUGUGAACAGUGUAAAUAUUAGUUACUCAGGCCUGGACUUAGCCAUUAGCCACUCACCACUGUCGUCGUCCGAGUUUUGGCUGCCCAUAAUGCCAAGUAAAUUUUGUUUAAAAUCGGAAAAUCUGCAAUCAAGACAAUUCGCGGCCGGGCAAUAAAGUUGAGUUUAGGAGGUCUAGGCACUGUCACAGUAAUCGAUAACUGAAAUACGCAAAGAGGUCUUCGCAUAGACGCCCCAGAUGGCAGCCCAAUAACUGUUUUUGUCUAUCGAUU